GCCAUGCAAGCAUAAGUUCAAGCAUUUGGACUGCAAAACUGCGAAAGGCUUCAUACAACAGUUAUAGUUUUCUCGGUACUCCCUUACUAGAAGGAUAACUCUGGUAAACUGGAGCUAAUACUUGCGUAAAGGGGCAACUUCGGAAGCCCUGCAUUUAUUAGUGUUAAACCAACCCGGGCAACCGGAUUGAUGAUUCACAAUAACUUAGCGGACCGGUUUCGACCGGCAGACCGAGCAAAUAUCUGCCCUAUCACCUUUCGUAUGUAGGGUAGUGGCCUACAUAGGGAAUAACGGGUACGGAGGUUGUGGGAUCGACCCCGAAGAGACCGCCUUAGAAACGGCGAUCACGUCUAUGGACGGCAGCAGUCGCGCAACCUGCCCAAUCAGCAGUGCUGGAGGCGGGGACGAGCAAUACUUAUGGCGCACUUAUGUGCCCACUAGAAUGAGAGCGGUUUAAGUCACCGUUCGAAAGCGAGUGGAGGGCAAGCUCGGUGCCAGCAGCCGCGGUAAUUCCGACUCCACAAGUGAAUGCUAAAGUUGCUGCAGUUAAAAAGUUCGUAUUUGGAUUUUUGGUUUUCGAUCUGGGUCCCUUCAUCUUGAUGUGUGACCUUGCACGAUACCUUCCGGUCCCUGGCGAUUCGUUGCCGGGGGCCUGGUUACCGUGAGGAAAUUGGAGUGCUCAAAGCAGGCGUAUGCAGCUGAACACAUUAGCAUGGAAUAACAAGGCAGGACUCUUUUCUUGUUUUGUUGGCUUCUCGUAGAAGAGAGUAAUGGUUAAUAGGGGCAGUUGGGGGCAUUAGUACGGCCGCGUCAGAGGUAAAAUUCGUAGAUCGCGGUCAGACUAACUUCUGCGAAAGCAUUUGUCAAGGAUGCUUUCAUUAAUCAAGAACGAAAGCCAGGGGAGAGAAGGCGAUUAGACACCACCGUAUUCCUGGCCAUAAACAUACCGACUCGGGAUUGGAUGAGAAAUGACUCCUUCAGCACCGUUGGGAAACCAAAGUCUUCGGGUUCUGGGGGGAGUCUGGUCGCAAGGCUGAAACUUAAAGGAAUUGACGGAAGGGCACCACAAAGCGUGGAUGUUGCGGCUUAAUUUGAGCCAACGCGGGGAAUCUUACCAGUGUCAGAGGCAGGGAGGAUUGACAGUUCUGACGGACUUUCUUGAUUCUGCCAAAAGUGGUGCAUGGCGGUUCUUAGUUCGUGGGUUGACCUGUCUGCUUGAUUGCGAUAACGAACGAGACCUCCACCUACUAAAUACAGUGCCGCUUUCGAGCGGUCGCUGUUCUUAGAGGGACUAUCGGUGCAAGCCGAAGGAAGCUGGAGGCAAUAACAGGUCAGUGAUGCCCUUAGAGAUACUGGGCUGCACGCGACAUACAAUGACGGUGUCAACGAGUUGCUGCUUCGAAAGGAGUCGGCUAAUCUUUGAAACACCGUCGUAGUGGGGAUUGACACUUGCAAUUCUUUGUCAUGAACGAGGAAUGCUUAGUAGGCUGGCUUCAUCAUGGCCAACCGACUACGUCAAUGUUCUUUGUACACACCGCCCGUCAUUUCUACCGAUUGGUUGCCGUGUUGAGCUAUCAGGACCGGGGAUGCGUUUCGGCGCGACC
rnacentral:rRNA from 1 species